rnacentral:rRNA from 1 species
UCGCAUCUGUGCAUGCAGCAUAUCAAUAAGCGGAGGAAAAGAAACUAACAAGGAUUCCCCUAGUAACGGCGAGUGAAGCGGGAAGAGCUCAAAUUUGAAAUCUUAAAGGGUUUCCCUUUACGAAUUGUAGUUUAAAGAAGUGUUUUCUGUUGAGGUUUUGGUAAAAGUUCUUUGGAAUAGGACAUCAUAGAGGGUGAGAAUCCCGUAUUUGACCUUUACUUUCAACUUUGUGAUACACUUUCAAAGAGUCGGAUUGUUUGGGAAUGCAGUCCAAAAUGGGUGGUAAAUUUCAUCUAAAGCUAAAUAUUGGCGAGAGACCGAUAGCGAACAAGUACCGUGAGGGAAAGAUGAAAAGAACUUUGAAAAGAGAGUUAAACAGUACGUGAAAUUGUCAAAAGGGAAGCGUUUGACACCAGUGUUGUUUUUCUGAAAAUCAAUUAAAGAACUGUUUAUGCUAAGUUGUUUAGACUUUAUCAGCUAACUGUUUAGUUUUGAGCUUUUCUUUAAUGCACUUUUCAGUUAACAAGUCAACAUCAAUUUCUUUUGCUGUAAAAAAGCUUGAGGAAGGUGGCUUGAGAUUCGUCUUAAGUGUUUAUAGCCUCUUGCCUAUGCAGUCGGAGAGAUUGAGGUCUGCAGCGUAGAUCCUUCGGGGCUAAAUGCAUUUGUGCUAAGUUAUAGCAUUUUAUAGACAACUUGUUGACUAUGAUUUGUCUUGUAGCUUACUCGCUUAUGUUAUUUUACCUACGCUUAGGAUGUUGAACGCGCACAGAGUCUC